UACGAAGGGGGCGAGCGUUGUUCGGAAUUACUGGGCGUAAAGGGCGCGUAGGCGGCCGAUCAAGUCAGAUGUGAAAGUCCUGGGCUUAACCUGGGGACUGCAUUUGAUACUGAUUGGCUUGAAUUCGGGAGAGGAUAGCGGAAUUCCCAGUGUAGAGGUGAAAUUCGUAGAUAUUGGGAAGAACACCGGUGGCGAAGGCGGCCAUCUGGACCGCAACUGACGCUGAGGCGCGAAAGCGUGGGGAGCAAACAGG
rnacentral:rRNA from 1 species